UGGCAGUGUCGCCGUCGCCGGGUUCCGUAGCCUCCGCCGCUUCGCCUCCUCGGCACCUGAGGCGGCCGUCCGGCGGUCCUGCGGCUCUCUCUCCUGCCGCUGCGGGCCGCGGGGCCAAGGCCAUGUCCCGGAAGCAGGCGGCGAAGAGCCGGCCGGGCAGCGGCAGCCGGAAAGCCGAGGCCGAGCGCAAGCGGGACGAGCGGGCGGCGCGUCGGGCCCUGGCCAAGGAGCGGCGGAACCGGCCGGAGCCCGGCGGCGGCGGCGGCUGCGAGGAGGAGUUCGUCAGCUUCGCCAACCAGCUGCAGGCCCUGGGGCUGAAGCUGCGGGAGGUGCCGGGGGACGGCAAUUGCCUAUUCAGAGCUCUUGGUGAUCAAUUGGAGGGCCACUCACGAAAUCAUCUCAAGCACCGACAAGAGACAGUGGACUACAUGAUAAAGCAGCGAGAAGAUUUUGAACCCUUUGUAGAAGAUGACAUUCCUUUUGAGAAACAUGUGGCCAGUUUGGCAAAGCCUGGAACAUUUGCUGGCAACGAUGCAAUUGUAGCCUUCGCAAGAAAUCAUCAGUUGAAUGUGGUGAUUCAUCAGCUUAAUGCCCCUUUGUGGCAGAUUCGUGGUACGGAUAAGAGCAACGUGCAGGAGUUACACAUUGCAUAUCGGUAUGGAGAGCACUAUGACAGCGUUCGGAGGAUCAAUGACAACUCCGAAGCACCUGCACAUCUCCAGACUGAUUUUCAGAUGCUUCAUCAAGAUGAAUCAAAUAAAAGAGAGAAGAUCAAAACAAAGGGAGUUGACUUUGAAGAUGACCUGAGAGAUGAAGUAGAAGAUGCUGUCCAGAAAGUUUGCAAUGCAACUGGAUGUUCAGAUUUAAAUUUGAUAGUCCAGAACCUGGAAGCUGAAAAUUAUAACAUUGAAUCUGCGAUAAUUGCCAUGCUCCAGAUGAACCAGGGGAAAAGAAAUAAUGCAGAGGAGAACCUUGAGUCCAGUGGCCGAGCACUGAAGCAGUGCGACCCUUUAUGGGAGGAGGGUGGCAGUGGCACCAGAAUCUUUGGAAAUCAGGGCUUAAAUGAAGGCAGAACUGAAAACGAUAAGUCUCGGGCCAGCCCCAGUGAAGAAAACAAAGCAAAUAAAAAUCACUUCCCAAAGGUCACAGACAAACAGAGGCGAGAACAGCAGCGACUGGAGAAGAAGAAACGACAGGAGGAGAGGCACCGUCACAAAGCCCUGGAGAGCAGGAGUAGCCACAGGGACAACAACAGAAGUGAAGCAGACACGAGCAUCCAGGUCACCUUGGUGAAGACCUUCGCGGCUCUCAACAUCUGACUCUGGCCUCCUGGGAGUUGUGAGAAGGGAAUGGAAAGCGGAGGGCCGUGUGCCAGGCUUUCCAUCAAGGCCAUCCUUUUACAAAAUGAAACUCAACCCACAGAAUCACACACUGAGUUAGUUUCCUUCAAGCUGCCUCCUUUUUUUGUUCAGAGUUUUGUCAGUGAUGUGUCUUAUUUAAUGAAAGUGCAGUGAAGCCAUUCAUGUUCCAUAAUUAAAAUAUCGACUUUUAGGGGUGGAUAGUUAGGUCAGAAAAUACUUUUACAGUUUUAUUUGCCCUGAAAAUCAGAGUUCAGUGACCCUGGGACCUUUCCUUAGCACUCGGGGUUUGUCUGUAAUUGUUCAUGAAGUAGUUUAGAUUAAUUGCUAGAAAUUCAGAAUGACAAGUUUCCUUUGUUUCUCUUUCAUUUUCAAACAGACAUUCAUAUGCAGGAUAGUUUAUAAAUGAUGUCCACCUCAGGUACAUGUUUAGAAUUAACUUUCUUCUAGUGCAAGUUAAUCACAAAAUAAUUCAGGAAGUGUUUUCCCAAAGUCAUAGGAUGUGAAGGUGGUGGCCUGUAGUCAGGGUGGAAAUUAAACAGCUAUGUUUCUCUUCUUCCUGAUUCUGAUGCUCAGAUGGGAUGCAGGUGCUGUUGGUUCUUUUGCACUCAAGCCAUAUGAUAAAUAGGCCAGACUGUUAAUUAGGCCUGGGCUUUGCUGGAAAAUGUGUAGUGUUGCCGGGUAGUUGGUAGUCGUUUCUUGACAACAAGAAGACAGUGUAUCAGUGCUUAUGAUACAGUUCUGGGAUUCUGAUAGCGUGGAGCGCAGAAGCCAUAGUUGUAAAGGCAGAAGUCAAGAGAGUCCUGAGUUUUUUGCUCAGGAAGAAGUCUGAAGAGGUAAUUGAUUUGGGGUGGGGGGUUGGGGGUGUCUGGAAGAAUUUCUAAGGCUUUUCAUGUUCACAUUUUAAGUAAGUAACUGUCAUUUCUUCCUUACUAUUCUGGAUUUAGAAAGAUGCCUUCAGAGAAAUAAAAGCUUUCAGAACAGGCGCUGCUCAAACUCCGGGGCCUUCCGACGGUUGUUCUGAGGUGAUUUAAUAAUGGCACUUUCUGCAAGGUGUGUUUUCCUGACUCUAAAGCAAAUUGUAUUUUUCCAUUGAUGUUGUUAAGUUGGCGAUCUCGAUGGCAUGUGUAAAUGAUAGCAGGUCUUCUGCCGUCACAUGCAAGGGGGGGAAUGGACAGUCGGGUUGAGCGCCGGUCACGAAGUGCAUCGCACAGUUCGGAGCUCGGAAGGUGCCCACAGGGCCCGGCUCCGGGGAGGAGCUGGGCCUCGUUGACUGCUUGGCUGCGUCUGUCCAAGGGCCCUCGGCCUCCCUGGCUACCCUUCCAGCGUCCGCCAGCAGCACUGAGCUCCGUGAGAAGAAGAAAAGAGCCAGGAGUCGGACCUCAGACCUCCGUGUUCCUCUUGCUGAUGUGGAAGCGCUGGCGGGUGUUAAUCCCCUUUGUGAAGGAGGGCCGAUGGGUCUGUGGAGAACACAGGGGCCUUCACAGGCUCGGCCACCUUCUCUUUUUUCUAAUUGCACUAUACUUGUCCUCACUGCAGUCUGGAGAUAUUUAAGACCUCUGUGGGGUCAUGAUCCAUAGACUUAGCAAGUCUUGCCUUAUCUGUGGAGCUGGACGGGGGGAAUGUGACCAUUGUCUCAUGUCCAUAGUUCAUUUCCUCCAGGAUGUUUCUUUCCUCAGAUUGUGUUACUCUGAACCAUUUUAGUUUUUAUUUACCAAAGUACUGUACUUGGCUAUUUGCAGUGUUUUCCAAACCAAAUGUUUCUUUUUCUUGUGUUUUUAAUCUUCAAUACUUGGUGCAAUAGAAGCUGCAAAGAUGUGCCACUUUA